rnacentral:tRNA from 3 species
CAGGGAAUAGUUUAAAUAGAACUUCAGCUUUGGGGGUUGAUGGUGAGACUACAGUUUCUUCCUUGA